UGAACCUGCNNNNNNAUCAUUACACAAAUAUGAAGGCGGGCUGGAACCUCUCGGGGUUACAGCCUUGCUGAAUUAUUCACCCUUGUCUUUUGCGUACUUCUUGUUUCCUUGGUGGGUUCGCCCACCACUAGGACAAACAUAAACCUUUUGUAAUUGCAAUCAGCGUCAGUAACAAAUUAAUAAUUACAACAUUCAACAACGGAUCUCUUGGUUCUGGCAUCGAUGAAGAACGCAGCGAAAUGCGAUAAGUAGUGUGAAUUGCAGAAUUCAGUGAAUCAUCGAAUCUUUGAACGCACAUUGCGCCCUUUGGUAUUCCAAAGGGCAUGCCUGUCCGAGCGUCAUUUGUACCCUCAAGCUUUGCUUGGUGUUGGGCGUCUUGUCUCUAGCUUUGCUGGAGACUCGCCUUAAAGUAAUUGGCAGCCGGCCUACUGGUUUCGGAGCGCAGCACAAGUCGCACUCUCUAUCAGCAAAGGUCUAGCAUCCAUUAAGCCUUUUUUUCAACUUUUGACCUCGGAUCAGGUAGGGAUACCCGCUGAACUUAAGCAUAUCA
rnacentral:rRNA from 1 species